rnacentral:rRNA from 1 species
UACAGAGGGUGCAAGCGUUAAUCGGAAUUACUGGGCGUAAAGCGCAUGUAGGUGGGAGCAUAAGUUUGAUGUGAAAGCCCUGGGCUUAACCUGGGAAUGGCGUUGAAGACUGUGUUUCUAGAGUUUGACAGAGGGUCGUGGAAUUUCCGGUGUAGCGGUGAAAUGCGUAGAGAUCGGAAAGAACACCAGUGGCGAAGGCGGCGACCUGGGUCUAAACUGACACUGAGGUGCGAAAGCGUGGGGAGCAAACAGG